UUCAGAGAACAGCUACAAUUCAGCCAAGGAUUGAUUUAACACUUGCAGUCCAGCCCAGGACUGCAAGUCCUGGGGUCAUUAGGCCUAAUUACAUCUCACAUCUGUGGGACAGGGAAAGCUGCCAAUCACACCAUUAGCUGUGGGCAUUCCUCCUCCAGAAGUUAUUGGGUUUGUUGUAAGGAACAGUUUAAAAGCUGUAAAGAUUAAUAAAUAUCUCUUCUUAGAGACUUCUUCUUAUCCAGAAGGACAAUUUGAAGGAAGCAGGGCAAGGAAAUGCAAGAUUAUUCCUCAAACAUAUAAGUCCUAAAGAAGACACUGAGAGUUGUGCAGAAAGCUGAAAGAAGAAAUUUACAUUGGUUUUAUUCCACCAGCUGAACUGUGCUCCAAGAGCUUUGGAAGACAGCCAACAUGGAAGAAGUUCAUAUCUGUGAACUCCAGAAAGUAACAAAACAUGCCUUAUUUCUACUAACUUAGA